rnacentral:lncRNA from 1 species
CAAACCCUAACAACGCAUUUCGCUCCCCACAGCGGCUCGGCCACAACCCACAGCCAGAAGGUCUCGAGCUGGAUCUCUACCGUUCCAGCAGACAGCAGUGCGCGCUCUCUCUCUCCCUCGUGGCGACGACUGGGCGACCGCUGCCGCUGCCGCUGCCGCUGCCGCUGCCCUUGUGCCCCGGUCUCCGUCGGUCCGUUCGCCAGGUCUCCUGCGGGCUCUUCGUCGUCGACAAGCUCCGCCUGGUACGACCACCCUUCUCUUCCGUUCCUGCUGUGCGAAGCUGAGCAUCCAAACCCUAACUAUCAAAUUAGAAGUGUAUACAUGUAAAUACAUGUAUUCUGUCUAUUAACUUCGAAUUUUUUGCCACAAUUAUUGGCUGCACACCUAUGUACUUUACUGCAUUCACCCCUGCUAGUCUGAUGGGUUCAGUUGAGCAGUGACAUCGUGA